CUCUACUAUAUGGAAUCAUCAAUGGAAUUUUAUUUAAUUAUUUUUAUCUAAUUUUGUUGCCACAGAUCCUUGGCUCAUAACAGGAUUAGUAAGAUUCCAUCUUCAUUACAAAAUUUGUCCAAGCUUUCAUAUAUUGUCCUUGAUGAUAACUUACUGGGUGGACACAUACCAACUUUCUUUAGUCAAAUGAAGUCGUUGAGCUUAUUGUAAGUUUGCAUCAUAACUUCAUCGUUCAUUGGUUUAAUAUCAGCAAAUUAAAUUCGAAAUGGUCUAUCUCUUUUUUAUUAGUGUUUGGCAUUUAAAGAUUACCUCAUCUAUCUAUCUAUUUUCUAUGAGACAUUUUACA